AUACUACAAUUCUCUUUAAUAAUAUUUUUUUAACUGUUUUUUCAAAUGAUCAUUCAGUUUCACAGUUGCAUUGUACAACUUCAUUUGCAAUGGCCAUAAAUAUGUUAUAUAUUUGUAAUAAAUCGACACACCCCAGGUGUAAUAUAACCUGUAACCUGUACAAUUCCAUCGCAUUUUCUUCCCUAAUCCUGAGCUCCCUAACUGAAAAAGUGCCUCUGGUUAACCCCAAGUACAGUUAAGCUGUUCAAAUAGGCUUUUGUUGACUUUUUUUUUUUUUGCUUUCUGGCAGAAGACUGAAGAUGUUGUGCUAACACAGACUGCUAAUUCUCACUGUUAUUUCCUCCACCUAGUCUCAGGCCCCAGUUCCAGUUGAAGCAAAACGGCCACUGUUGAAGAUGCACUAAACCUCACUGAAGCCCUCCCUCCAUCUUGUUCCGGCCAGCUUCCCUCAAUUACUGUCACAGGCGGCCCACAACAUUGCAUAGGUGGGGGUGCGUAGCCGAGUGGGGGGGAGAAACGACGCACGUGAUGAGAAGAGGAGACAGCCGUGACAUCGUAAGAAUUGGUAUUUACAGCUGAUAUCCCAGCAGCAGGUGCUUGCUGGGAGCGGAGGGACCUUAAUAAACGCGCCGCACGCCACCUGCAGCUGCACACGCAUGAAGACAAGACAAGGGUGGUGAUUAGCGGCGUCGGCACGCGCAGCAUUCGACUGCGACACACCGAAUGGAUUGCGUUCACCUCCGAAGUUGAACGCAAUCCGUUCGGCGACGCCGUUUGAUUUUUCAGAGGUAUUUUUCCUCAUGGGAGGUCAUGAAAAGUGAAUUCAUUUCUUAAAAGGAAAAACAAAAAAAAUGUCAUCCAAUCUGUAUGUACUGUAGUGAUACAUGCCGACAUUUGUAAACUUCAUCAUAAAUGGAACGAGAAGUUAACCGCUGAGUGAUCAAACUGAAAUAAAGUCAAACUACUUCCACUUCCAAGUGGCACAAUGGUGAGUGAGCGCGAUAAAACGAGACGUGACACCUCCACAAAUUCAUUCGCAGAAAUAACGCCAUCAAAAUGUCUGUCUGCUGUCGUGUGACUGCAAAACGACUGCCAUACUUCCGAACACAAAAUCCCUCUGCUGUAUUGCAACAACGUCAUCAUUCUCCCUCCACUGGCGUACAAAUGGAUACAAAAAAAAAAACUUUUCAGAAAACCGACACGCAUUUGUGUUAAUUUUUGUGGAGGCAAAACUGGAGAAAAUUCUGUGCACACAGAGAUGUAAUUAACAGCGUCAGAAGACAUGAAGCGCAGAUCGUGGACACAUUAAAAACACUUUUAUGAGAACGUUUUUAUUUAUGUAUUUAUUUAUUUAAAUAAUUA